AUCAUUACCGAGUGCGGGCUGCCUCCGGGCGCCCAACCUCCCACCCGUGACUACCUAACACUGUUGCUUCGGCGGGGAGCCCUCUCGGGGGCGAGCCGCCGGGGACUACUGAACUUCAUGCCUGAGAGUGAUGCAGUCUGAGUCUGAAUAUAAAAUCAGUCAAAACUUUCAACAAUAGAUCUCUUGGUUCCGGCAUCGAUGAAGAACGCAGCGAACUGCGAUAAGUAAUGUGAAUUGCAGAAUUCAGUGAAUCAUCGAGUCUUUGAACGCACAUUGCGCCCCCUGGCAUUCCGGGGGGCAUGCCUGUCCGAGCGUCAUUGCUGCCCAUCAAGCCCGGCUUGUGUGUUGGGUCGUCGUCCCCCCCGGGGGACGGGCCCGAAAGGCAGCGGCGGCACCGUGUCCGGUCCUCGAGCGUAUGGGGCUUUGUCACCCGCUCGAUUAGGGCCGGCCGGGCGCCAGCCGACGUCUCCAACCAUUUUCUUCAGGUUGACCUCGGAUCAGGUAGGGAUACCCGCUGAACUUAAGCAUAUCAAUAAGCGGAGGA
rnacentral:rRNA from 1 species